GCCCGCUUCCACGCGUCGCUCUCUAUUGGUUCUUGUUUUAAAAGGCGAAGCAACCGCGCUUCGCCGCGCAUGCGCGGGUUACCAUCCUUCUCCUAUUUCCGCCCCCGCGCACUUCCGCCGCCGUUGAUUGGCCGUCGAUUUAAAUGGUGAACCGCCCGCUCCUCUUUGAAUGUUUUUGCGCCUUCUCGCCGCAGACUUCGAAACGGAAAGGCGAUGAGAAGACGACUUUUAUGAGCACUGAACCUCUUCUAAUUAUUAUUUUAAUACACUAAAACGCAGCCGACCAACGAACUGAGCAGCAACGAAGACAAGCUGUGCGGAAACUGGAAGAAACGUUCAGUUUGUGUGCUCAACCGUGCGGAAGCCAACAUGAAGUGCCCGCGAUACGACAUGGCUAAGGCCAAACCCAAGCCCAACGUUGAGAUGGGUUCUCCAGAGAAGCCCUCAGGCCUCCAUGGAAAAGAUUCACCUAUCAAGGAUCCCCUCCCCCUCAAGCCCCUUGCUGAAAAGGUGUCCAAAGUGUUGUUCCCGCAUAACAACUCUCUCGGCGUGGCCCAAGACAAAGAGAACCAGACCGCCAAAGAGCUCGAGAAUACCUUUGACGAGUCGCUAGAGGACAGCGGCUACUUGUCCCUGUACAACAGCCAUUUUGAGGAAGGUGUAAGUCGCAGUCAGGAAAAAAAAUCGACAUUCUUAAUGCCCCUCCCACCUCCAACUGUGACACCAAAACAGUCCCCCCGACGUGAAGAGAACAUAGUUUCUGGUUGCCCCGCGUUCUUGGGGAUUGCUUCCACACCUGUGGACUCCUACAGGCGGAAACCAGUCACGUACUCCUUGUCUUCCACCCCCUUGGACCACUACGACAGCACCAACCUGCCCAUUGUCAAGUUUCAGCAGGCAGCGUGUCAAGAGCUCGCCAAGAGUUACAGCAAGAAUAAGAGGUACGACUGGAGCGUCAUCUCCAAGGUGGCCGAGGAUCAUCUGCUGCACCAGGUGAUCGGCGGCCGCAUGGGCCUCGAGUUCGUGGAUGUGUUCUCGUCCCUUCUGUCCAAGAAUAUGAGAAUCAUCCUGGCCAACAUCCUGGCCUUGCUGGGAGACAUGGACCUCAUCAGUUGCAAGAAGGUGAGCAGAACGUGGCGGAAGAUUAUACGCGAAGAUAGCGCUGCUCUGCAGAGGUGCCGGCAAGCCGAAAAGGUUCUUCAGGAGUCGUUAAGCUCUGUGACGCUGAAGAGUUCCGAUCUCACGAGGGAUGUGGUCGUAUCCCGGAUGGUUCUGUCCUGCGUGCAAAAAGUGGCCUCUCCAAACACGCCAUCAUCAGCAACCGCAUCCUCUGUCAGCAGACGGAGCGCCACUGUACAGAAAAACAACCAAUCAAAUUCGCAGUGUUCUCGCUUCAACGAGUACAUUCAGGCUGCCAGCACCUUGAAGCAGCACCAGUCCCUGCGGCCGUGCAAGCAGUGCGGCUCGCCCGCCAUACACUCACCUGACGCCCAGCGAGCCACGUGCAUGCGGCCCUCCUGCCAGUUUGACUUUUGCACCCGCUGCCAGGAAGCCUUCCACGGCGCCGCCCCUUGUCGUGUGGUGCAGUGCCGCUCUCGCUUCUCACCUUCCGGCAGCGCCCAUUCCCUCCUUCCUGGCAGCGCACAGAGCAAGAGGAACAUCAGGAGGUUGUGAUGAGGUUAGAGGUGAUUUUUCUUUUGUCUCCUCUUGCCAAAGUAGAGGGAUUUCCAAAAAGUUGUUUCUAAAUGAGUUGGUGGUUAAAAACAAUGCAUUCUGAGCACACCAUCUUGACCAAAAAAAAGAUGACUGAAGAAAAUUGUGACACUUUAAAGUUGGACAUUUUAAUAAUGUUUUAUAUUGAUUGUAAAUAUUUAGAGUUUUUUCUAUAUAUAUAUAUAUAUAUAUAUAAAUGGAGCAAGUUUGUUUUAAAUAAAUGUUCACCUGAAAAAUUGUAAAUAUUUAUAUACUGUUUGUAUUGCCAUUUCCUCAUAAAAGUUUU